rnacentral:rRNA from 1 species
AGCAGCCGCGGUAAUUCCAGCUCCAAUAGCGUAUAUUAAAGUUGUUGCAGUUAAAAGCUCGUAGUUGAAUUUUGGAUUCUUCCAAUUGGUCCAUCUUUUAGAUGAGUACUGGUUGUGUGGGGUCUAUCCGCCUGGUGAUACGUAAUGUCCUUUAUUGGAUGUUUCGGGUAGUCAGGACCUUUACCUUGAAAAAAUUAGAGUGUUUAAAGCAGGCUUAUGCCGGAAUACAUUAGCAUGGAAUAAUAGAAUAGGACGAAGUUGUUUUCAUUUUGUUGGUUUCUAGGACAACCGUAAUGAUUAAUAGGGAUAGUUGGGGGCAUUAGUAUUCAAUUGUCAGAGGUGAAAUUCUUGGAUUUAUUGAAGACUAACUACUGCGAAAGCAUUUGCCAAGGAUGUUUUCAUUAAUCAAGAACGAAAGUUAGGGGAUCGAAGACGAUCAGAUACCGUCGUAGUCUUAACCAUAAACUAUGCCGACUAGGGAUCGGGCGAUGUUGUUUCCAUGACUCGCUCGGCACCUUAU